rnacentral:tRNA from 1 species
GCCCCAUUUGUCUAAUGGUUAUGACGUCAGACUUCUAUCUUCUGCAAGAGUCUUACUCUACCGGAGCGGCAUCUGGAGGUUGCGAGUUCGAGUCUCGCAUGGGGUU